UCGUACUAGCCGGGGAGGUAGCGGUGCCCUGUACUUGCAACCCGCUAUAGCAAGGGCGAAUUCCCUUUCGAGGGUUAUUCUUGUGUGGUCUGGCUUUUGUAAGUGGUGAUGAAGAUCGGGUCUUACGCAACGAAAAUCCGUGAACCUCGUCAGGUCGGGAACGAAGCAGCGAUAAGCGGACUCUUUCGUGUGCCGUGAGGCUGCCCGGUCAGAGCUAACUGCAGAAGUAACGCAUGUAAGGAUAAUUCGAAAAAGGGUGUACGG
rnacentral:SRP_RNA from 1 species